rnacentral:rRNA from 1 species
UACGAAGGGGGCUAGCGUUGUUCGGAAUUACUGGGCGUAAAGGGCGCGUAGGCGGUGUGUCAAGUCAGGCGUGAAAGCCCCGGGCUCAACCUGGGAACCGCGCUUGAGACUGGCACGCUAGAGUUCGGGAGAGGAUGGUGGAAUUCCCAGUGUAGAGGUGAAAUUCGUAGAUAUUGGGAAGAACACCGAUGGCGAAGGCAGCCAUCUGGACCGACACUGACGCUGAGGCGCGAAAGCUAGGGGAGCAAACAGG